rnacentral:rRNA from 1 species
GACGAACGCUGGCGGCGUGCUUAACACAUGCAAGUCGAACGGAAAGGCCCUGCUUUUGUGGGGUGCUCGAGUGGCGAACGGGUGAGUAACACGUGAGUAACCUGCCCUUGACUUUGGGAUAACUUCAGGAAACUGGGGCUAAUACCGGAUAGGAGCUCCUGCUGCAUGGUGGGGGUUGGAAAGUUUCGGCGGUUGGGGAUGGACUCGCGGCUUAUCAGCUUGUUGGUGGGGUAGUGGCUUACCAAGGCUUUGACGGGUAGCCGGCCUGAGAGGGUGACCGGACACAUUGGGACUGAGAUACGGCCCAGACUCCUACGGGAGGCAGCAGUGGGGAAUAUUGCACAAUGGGCGGAAGCCUGAUGCAGCAACGCCGCGUGCGGGAUGACGGCCUUCGGGUUGUAAACCGCUUUCGCCUGUGACGAAGCGUGAGUGACGGUAAUGGGUAAAGAAGCACCGGCUAACUACGU